GAAAACAAAUCCAGGAUGACUUUCUGGAUAAUCUGUUAUGAAACGGUCAAAGUUCACACCACUGAGACGGGAUAUUGUUCCAGUGGCUGUUUCACUUAGAACUCCCUUAGCCAGUCUCCACAAUCAAUAACCUGUUAAUUGCUUUUCACCUUUCUUUCUGCCAAUAAAUAAAUACUAGGCGGUGGAGCCCACACCACCAAGCUUGUGCUCCUUCUCACAAAGGGAGUGACUUCUUCUGAGUACCUCUGAUCGGUAAGCCUCUAUUCUGGUUGACACGGUACAUGUCACAAGAUUGAAAUGACCUUCUGCUUGUCCAGGUGAGUUUAGGGAGAUGUCAGCGCAUGCAAACAUCUAAGAAUCAAUCACCAUCAGCUGAAGGAUCCGCUAGAAGAGCUGGGGUAGCCGUGUAGCUCAGUGGAGUGUUUUUCUGGCAUACCCAAGGCCAUGUAUUGAUCCUCACCACUGCAUAAACCAGGAAUUUUUAGUCCUGGAAUGUGAAGUAGAGUCAAAACUGGGCAAUACAGAGAGGGUUCCUUGAUUUGGACGAGACAGAGCCUGCAGGAUUGAGUGGCUACCUUUGGGUCUAAGAUAUUCCCUAGUGAGCCUCCCGAAUGUCAUGUUUGGCUUUUGGGAUUGUCUCCCAGGCUCCAUCUGGUCAAUGGCAGACACAGCUGACUCAACAGUUUAUGAACACUGCACAUAACACUUCGCUGUCCACUAGAAGAUAUUCUUAACAACGGUUGAACACUGGCUGCCACAUUCUCAUCUGACUCUGGGCCUUACGACGAUGUUUCUAGUCCUAGUGACAGUUCUCAGGGUGAAACUCACCUGGAAUGUC